rnacentral:rRNA from 1 species
ACGCUCGACACCUACGGGGGCAGCAGUGGGGAAUAUUGCACAAUGGGGGAAACCCUGAUGCAGCGACGCCGCGUGAGCGAAGAAGUAUUUCGGUAUGUAAAGCUCUAUCAGCAGGGAAGAAAAUGACGGUACCUGGCUAAGAAGCACCGGCUAAAUACGUGCCAGCAGCCGUGGUAAUCUGAGCGGGCUGGCAAGGC